CACUAGGAUAGUAUUAAGUAUGAUUUUCAUACUGUUACUGAUAGAAAGUCUGAGUAACUUUCUGUCCUUUUGUCUUUCUUCUGCUGAAGUGGCGCACUGAAAGGGGAGAUUCAUGUCACCUUCAUCAGUCCUUUCUUUAAUCACUGGACACCAUUAAGGGAAAGACCCUCAGACGUGUCAUAAUAGGAUAAAUGCGGCUGCAGUUUUUGACAGAUUGGACUAGUUAACUUACUUCAACAACUUCUGGGUGAGUGUUUGACAAGACAAGGCCUGGUGAGAGCCACUACAGAGGAUCAUAGCCAUUG